rnacentral:rRNA from 1 species
UACGUAGGGUGCAAGCGUUGUCCGGAUUUAUUGGGUUUAAAGGGUCCGUAGGCGGUUUUGUAAGUCAGUGGUGAAAGCCCAUCGCUCAACGGUGGAACGGCCAUUGAUACUGCAAGACUUGAAUUAUUGUGAAGUAACUAGAAUAUGUAGUGUAGCGGUGAAAUGCUUAGAGAUUACAUGGAAUACCAAUUGCGAAGGCAGGUUACUAACAAUAUAUUGACGCUGAUGGACGAAAGCGUGGGUAGCGAACAGG